CAACCCUUAAGCUUAGCUUAGUGUUGGGAGCCUACUGCUUUUGCUAGCGGUAGCUCCUGAAAUACAACGGCGGAUCUGCGAUAUCCUCUGAGCGUAGUAAUUUUUAUCUCGCUUUUGACUGGAGUUGCAGCGUCUUUAGCCGCUAAACCCCCCAAUUUUUAAU
rnacentral:misc_RNA from 1 species